rnacentral:rRNA from 1 species
UACGUAGGGUGCGAGCGUUGUCCGGAAUUAUUGGGCGUAAAGGGCUCGUAGGCGGUCUGUCGCGUCGGGAGUGAAAACUCAGGGCUUAACCCUGAGCCUGCUUCCGAUACGGGCAGACUAGAGGUAUGCAGGGGAGAACGGAAUUCCUGGUGUAGCGGUGGAAUGCGCAGAUAUCAGGAGGAACAUCGGUGGCGAAGGCGGUUCUCUGGGCAUUACCUGACGCUGAGGAGCGAAAGUGUGGGGAGCGAACAGG